rnacentral:lncRNA from 1 species
AGGGAACUCCUUAUGUUUUUUCUGUCCUUAGAGAUCCUCUGUGGCUGGAGAAUGGAAAAAAGGAAGUAAGGUAUAGCAUCAAUAACAAUGAGUUUGUCCCAGGAAGCCAUGGGAUACCAACCUAGCAGUGGAAUUGCUGGUUCAAUGGUUCAAAGUAAAGGAUUACAUUGUGGUUGUGAAUUUGGAAACUGAUAAAAUGUUGGUGCCUAUAGAAGAAAUGAAGAAGUUUGGAAGACAGUUUUCUGCUUUCCUUCUAAUCUUGGCUGCAUUGGAAGUACGUGGUGGCUCCUGGAGCUGGAGUCCUCUGGGACUCCAGGCAUGUGGUGGGAAUUCCUGGUGUUGGUGUUCACCCCU